rnacentral:rRNA from 1 species
GUUAAUCGCGGGCCAGGAGCUGUGGGAAUACGUAGGUAGCAAGCGGUGUUCGGAAUUGCUGGGCGUAAAGAGUGUGUAGGCGGUGCUCUAAGGCGGUCGUGAAAUCGCCCUGCGCAACUGGGAGGGUGCGGCGGAAACUGGAGUGCUCGAGGAUGGGAGAGGUAAGCGGAAUUCCUGGUGUAGCGGUGAAAUGCGUAGAUAUCAGGAGGAACACCUGUGGUGUAGACAGCUUACUGGACCAUUUCUGACGCUGAGACACGAAAGCGUGGGUAGCAAACAGGAUUAGAUACCCGGGUAGUC